GAGCGAGGAAUGAGUUUGUCUAGUGUGUGGAGGAGGGAGGGUGUGCUGUGCGGCGCUCCGGAGGACUCACACUCGCGCCGCUCUGUCGCUCGCUGUCAACGCUCGUUCAGCCAUUUCUGGAGCUCGUAGUGUGUUUUGUGUGACGUGGAGAGCUUUCUUGAUGAAUGGUGGUGUGUGUUAGGAGGAGCUGGUGAGCGGCUUUGAGGAAAAAUACCCAUUUAAGUUGAUAUAUACCAGCAGUGAUCCGAUCUGAAGUGGCAUAAUAUAGUCGAGUUUUCAAAGAAUUGACUGGAUACAUUAUGAUUGGAGAUGGUUAGUGCACGUAUAGGGUGAGGCUUGUCAGCACACCCCGUCAGGAAUGGUGAAAAGACCGUGAGCAUGGGCUGGUAACAACAGUAUGGUCUCAGGGACUGUGGUGAGCGCCGGCACGGUCUCUCCUCACCACAAGUAUGUGGCGGUCACGCUCAUCACGCACGAGACGCUCACUUUCGCCGUUGAGGUGAAGAGCAGAGUCGCCGAGGUCUACAGCCAGGUGUGCUCGUACCUGCAGCAGCUGGGUAUGCAAGACACCGAUCUCUUCGGACUGGCCACUGUCAUCGGUAAGUGGACGCCGCUCUCGCCUUCGGGGGUUGCGUGUGUGUGUGU
rnacentral:lncRNA from 1 species